UACGGAGGGAGCUAGCGUUGUUCGGAAUUACUGGGCGUAAAGCGUGCGCAGUCGGUUAUUUAAGUCGGAUGUGAAAUCCCCGGGCUCAACCUGGGAAUUGCAUUCGAUACUGGAUGGCUAGAGUUCGGCAGAGGGAAGUGGAAUUCCGGUGUAGCGGUGAAAUGCGUAGAUAUCGGAAGGAACAUCAGUGGCGAAAGCGACUCCUGGACCAGUACCGACGUC
rnacentral:rRNA from 1 species